GACGAACGCUGGCGGCGUGCUUAACACAUGCAAGUCGAACGGAAAGGCCCUGCUUUUGUGGGGUGCUCGAGUGGCGAACGGGUGAGUAACACGUGAGUAACCUGCCCUUGACUUUGGGAUAACUUCAGGAAACUGGGGCUAAUACCGGAUAGGAGCUCCUGCUGCAUGGUGGGGGUUGGAAAGUUUCGGCGGUUGGGGAUGGACUCGCGGCUUAUCAGCUUGUUGGUGGGGUAGUGGCUUACCAAGGCUUUGACGGGUAGCCGGCCUGAGAGGGUGACCGGCCACAUUGGAACUGAGACACGGCCCAGACUCCUACGGGAGGCAGCAGUGGGGAAUAUUGGACAAUGGGCGCAAGCCUGAUCGAGCCAUACCGCGUGGGUGAAGAAGGCCUUCGGGUUGUAAAACCCUGUUAUUGGGAAAGAAAAGCUGCAGAUUAAUACACCGCUGUUCUGACGGUACCCAAAGAGUAAGCACCGGCUAACUACGUG
rnacentral:rRNA from 1 species